ACCUAAGAAGCAUCCAAGAAUAGUGUCUGAUGCUCCAGAUAAAAAAGAAACUCGCCAUUCAGAGGAAAGAUUACAGUCAAAAAAAGAAAGUGAUUGACGCAAGGACAAACACGGAUAACCACUGGUGUAGCUUUUCCUCGUCGGAGAGCACUGAAAGAAGGGACUGAGAGCACACACAGAAGGUGAGAAUUAAGGUGGUUUGAUGGUAUGGAGCAGAGAAAAAGCAGGACCGGCAGCUGCUGGUGGACCUGUCUCGAGGAACGUUCUGGGCUUUGGAGAGCUGUUGAGCAGGAUGGGACCUGGUCUGGAGCCGGUUUCCUUCACUUUCCAUUCUGUUAACCUCCUACUGUACUGCAGAUUAUCUGAAAAUUCUGUGAAACUUGGCUACAGUGGAAGACAACCAACGCAGCACCUGGGAUGCCUCAUGACGUCAAGACAAAAAACUAGCAUGUCAAAAAAAUAUUUCCUUCUCUCUCCAAGUGAGACAACUUCUGCGAUAACUUCUGUUCCAUGACAUUGACUCAUAGGCGCACAGAUCACUCCUCAAUGCACAGUUGCAAACACCAAAUACCAAAGAGGAGUGAUGUUGGAUUUCAUUUCAGUGAACAUGUAACCAACUGACUCUCACCCACUGAACAUUAUAUGCUACAGGGAAGGAGAUGACUGAGCCCAUCUUCACCGCUGAGUGACAAUAAAAGGUUCACUUUAAUUCAUAUAACUGUGUUUACAUACGUAAACAUUUGAUGUUGGUUGAACAGUAAAGUCGGUCCCUGGCAUCUCACUGAUUACUUAUGAUCGUAGUGCAACAUGUAGUCUGUGAUGUCUCUCAGCCAAGUCAAGGAUUUAUGUCUCUAUGAUGGCCUAAUCUGACACAGUGACAGAUAUUGUAGUUUAUAGCAGAGAAAGGAAACAACAAAAAUGUUUUUACACUCAGCGAUAUUACAGUUCAUUUUAUCAUAAUUAUGCAUCCAAACUGAGGUACUCGUCCAUUGAAGACAAAAUGGCACAAAUUCACAAAUUCAUAGAUGCCACGUGUUUAAAAAUGUUUACUUUUCAAAAUAUAACUGCUUCUAUGACUUUCACCUGGAUUCUUCUCCUCAGUGUGAAAGAGUCCCUACAUGUCACAUUUACCUUUGAUUGUGAAAAUAACAUUUACAAACUAAAUCCCAUUUACUACAAUCUCACCGAGUCAACGAAAAACUUUUGCUUAUGAUGUAUUUUGGAGCUGAAAUGGAUAUAUCAUGAUUUAGAAUACAAUUCUACUGUAAUUGAAUAAAGCCCCACCUGUAUUGCAGAAUGAUUGGAUUUUGUGAGGAUGAUUGGCUUGAUUCAGUUUGUGCACAGGAUUGCCCAGACGGCUCCGUGUGCUGCAGCUGACACCGACGGUGUGUGAAUCAGUAAGUGACUGAUCAAGAAGAAAGACAUUUUUACUAUGCAGCGUCUCAGCAAAU